CCAUUGCUGCACGUGGUGAGCCUUUGAACUGAGAGUGGCUGAGCGCAGAGUAACCCUGGUAGCACCCCUGGGCCACCUGAAACUGAUCGUGCUGUCUUCUUUGGAGUGGCUGCCCCUUUAAAAGAAGACUUAACCCGGGGGACUUUAUCUGGCUCUGUGAUUCAGCUGGAAAGAGACCUGAGCAAGGCCCGGGUAGGGUUGCAGAGCAAAGGGGCGGUUUGUCCUACAGCCUAAAGAAGACAGAACCAUGAUGAAGCGGCAUAGUUCGUCUGCGUAAUACCUGAGGUGCGUUGCCUCAUGCCAAGGAAAUCAAGGACAUGGACACGCAUGGAGUGAG
rnacentral:lncRNA from 1 species